CCUACGGGAGGCAGCAGUGGGGAAUAUUGCACAAUGGGCGGAAGCCUGAUGCAGCAACGCCGCGUGCGGGAUGACGGCCUUCGGGUUGUAAACCGCUUUCGCCUGUGACGAAGCGUGAGUGACGGUAAUGGGUAAAGAAGCACCGGCUAACUACGUGCCAGCAGCCGCGGUGAUACGUAGGGUACGAGCGUUGUCCGGAUUUAUUGGGCGUAAAGGGCUCGUAGGUGGUUGAUCGCGUCGGAAGUGUAAUCUUGGGGCUUAACCCUGAGCGUGCUUUCGAUACGGGUUGACUUGAGGAAGGUAGGGGAGAAUGGAAUUCCUGGUGGAGCGGUGGAAUGCGCAGAUAUCAGGAGGAACACCAGUGGCGAAGGCGGCUCUCUGGGCCUUUCCUGACGCUGAGGAGCGAAAGCGUGGGGAGCGAACAGGCUUAGAUACCCUGGUAGUCCACGCUGUAAACGGUGGGUACUAGGUGUGGGGUCCAUUCCACGGGUUCCGUGCCGUAGCUAACGCUUUAAGUACCCCGCCUGGGGAGUACGGCCGCAAGGCUAAAACUCAAAGGAAUUGACGG
rnacentral:rRNA from 1 species